rnacentral:rRNA from 1 species
UACAGAGGGUGCAAGCGUUGUUCGGAAUUAUUGGGCGUAAAGCGCGUGUAGGCGGCUUAGCAAGUCGGGCGUGAAAGCCCUCGGCUCAACCGAGGAAGUGCACCCGAAACUGCUGAGCUUGAGUGCCGGAGAGGAUGGCGGAAUUCCCCAAGUAGAGGUGAAAUUCGUAGAUAUGGGGAGGAACACCGGUGGCGAAGGCGGCCUUCUGGACAGUGACUGACGCUGAGACGCGAAAGCGUGGGGAGCAAACAGG